AUGGCUGUGGGGGAGGUGGGCUCUGCCAUCUCCCAGAGGCUGCUGCUGCCCAGGGACCUCUGCCUCCCCUGGGUGGUGGCACGUAGGGCCUGGAAGUCUCAUGGGCAUCUGAGUGCGAUGGGAACAGCUGCUGCCAGGUCUGUCCUGCCCCGCCUGGCGGGGUCUGGCACCUUCCUGCCAAGGUCUUGGAGGCUAAGACCGUCAGUCCCGGUGCUGCGGGGCUCGGCCACGGCCCGAGAGCGGUGUGGGACCUGCACCAGAGCCUGCUGCAGGGUGUGCAGCGGUGGCUCCAGACGCAGAGGAGAGCGUGGAUGGGCUGCUCCUGCUGCCACCCACCUUGGCCCAGCGAGGAUGAGGAUGGAGCAAGGCAGGAGGAGGACAGGCUGCCUCUCCUGGGUGCUGAAUGGAAAGCCUCUGUCCUUGGGGAUUGUUUGCAGUCACCCACCCUGGGCUGGGAGAGCUGCUCUGGCUGCCCAGUCUUGGGGCAAACGGGGCACAGAAGGCUUUGGCCAUCCAGGGUCUCCUCUGGGAGGGAGGAUGGAAGAUGAUGUGCUCCCCCUGUGCCUGCAGCCCUUUCUGCUGUGGGCUUGGAUCCUCCUGCUCCAGUGAGCCCUCGGAUCAGUGUGUCAGGGGCUGCCUUGGUCUUCACACACUCACUUUUCAACACAAUUUUUGAUUCUCAUGGGUUCUUUUUCUCUCCUCUGUGCAUGUUUUUGCAGGAGGGGACUGUUGCACAGCUGAGCAGUGUUAUCAGAGUGUGCCCCAUGCCCUUCGGCGCUCACCAAAGGGGAAGUUGUCAGUGACUCCCCCUUGUUCCCCAGAUCCCUAGAUGGGUUGUCCUGGUCUCCUCCCGCCUGGCGGCGGUUGCAGAAAUGCUGAUGUUGGUGUGUUUAUCAACAGCUGUGCUACAUCACCCCUUGCCCACACGGGUCCUGGGGCCUUGGGGGACGCCUGGCCCCUGCCAUGGAGGCUUGGUCCAUGUUCCCGUCCAUCCUGCUGGGAAUGGUGAGCUGGAGCUGAGUCCCCGGGCGCUGGUUGCUGCCCUGGCUAGUCACGCACACGAGUCCCACCCCUACUGUGUACCAGAGGCACUGCUUCACAGCUUGUGUAGAAAUGGGGAUGGCAGAUGUCAUAUUAAAUCAUGGCGUCAUCAUUUAUUUAUAGGUGAUUACAUUAAAGAGAGAUUAAUAUAGCCAAAGGCUUCGCAGAAUUAGAGUUAAUGUACUUGUGUUUAUUAUAUUUGCCAACAUUUCUCCAAUCCAGCUGGGUUUUUCUGGCCACAGGGUUUAACAGAGAGCCCACUGCCAUCCUCCAGCCUGCCUGGGAGGGGG
rnacentral:lncRNA from 1 species